UACGUAGGGUGCGAGCGUUAAUCGGAAUUACUGGGCGUAAAGCGUGCGUAGUCGGCUUUUUAAGUCGGGUGUGAAAUCCCCGGGCUCAACCUGGGAAUUGCAUUCGAUACUGGAUAGCUAGAGUUCGGCAGAGGGAAGUGGAAUUUCUGGUGUAGCGGUGAAAUGCGUAGAUAUCAGAAGGAACAUCAGUGGCGAAAGCGACUUCCUGGACCAGAACUGACGAUCAGGCACGAAAGCGUGGGGAGCAAACAGG
rnacentral:rRNA from 1 species